rnacentral:misc_RNA from 1 species
GGCAGAUUUGGAGCCGGCUGUCGCUUGAUUUCGUUGAUUUUAUAUCUUUGCUGAUGCGAUUUGACAGCCUAUUGCAGAUCUGCUUUGCCAGGGGAUUUCGGCUUUGUAGAAGAUAGCGUUUGAUUUGCUUCUUGGCCUCAAUCAACUGGAGAGUCUGGCUUUUGACUCGAAACCUAGAUCUGGUUAUCUUGCGUGGACACUGCGCAUUGGCAAAGUUUGCAGCAUCUUGGACGUUUUUGACAAGAAUAUCAACAGCAUCAUCAACAUCAUCUGGACUGCUGAUUUCAGUGUUGAAAGAUGGCCUUUUGCUUUGCUGAUGAUCGGCUUCUCAACCAGCUGGACUUGCAAUGGGAGGUGAUCCGAGUUUAGCUCGAAAGAGUCAGUGAUGGCCAGCAAAUCUCGCCUGAUGCCUUUGAAAAGCGCAAAGUCUAUGGCAGAUGGAGUUUGGCGUGAGUUGAAAGGGAUCUGGCGUUUCCCCACCAUUGGCUCUUUGCGUUCCAGUCACCACCUACAAGAUACGUGUCGCCCAGCAAAUUCAGAAGAUUGCUGAAGUCUUGCGCAGUCCAGCUUAUUUCAGCCUGCAUGCGAGGGAAUCACAUACACAAUUGCCCUGCUUUUUCUCGCCUCAAGCUUUAGGCUGCCCAGCAGCGUAAAGGUGAG